GCUUACGGCCAUACCACCCUGAACGCGCCCGAUCUCGUCUGAUCUCGGAAGCCAAGCAGAGUCGGGCCUGGUCAGUACUUGGACGGGAGACCGCCUGGGAAUACCGGGUGCUGUAAGCU
rnacentral:rRNA from 1 species